rnacentral:rRNA from 1 species
GAUGAACGCUGGCGGCGUGCUUAACACAUGCAAGUCGAACGGUGAAAGAGAGCUUGCUCUCUGGAUCAGUGGCGAACGGGUGAGUAACUCGUGAGCAAUCUGCCCCUGUCUCUGGGUUAAGCGCUUUAAACAGCGUCUAGUACCUGCUACGAGCUGCGAUGACCUCUUCAGCAGCUGAAAAAAACUUCGGUCAGGGAUGAGCUCGCGGCCUAUCCGCUCGUUGGUGAGGUAUCGGCUCACCAAGGCGUCGACGGGUAGCCGGCCUGAGAGGGUGACCGGCCACAAGGGGACUGAGAGACGGACCAGACGCGUACGGGAGGCAGCAGGGGAGAAUAUGACACAAUGGGCGAAAGUCUGAGGCAGAAACGCCGCGUGAGGGACGAUGGCUUUCGAGUUGUAAACAUCUGUGAGCAGGGAAGAAGCGAAAGUGACGGUACCUGAAGAAAAAGCGACGGCUAACUACGUG